AAAUUAGGCCCUAAAUAAUCUACAUCGAACAGAAGCUCCUUAGGUUGACCUAACGGUACUCUAGGGUUUCCCUAUAGAGCUAUAGUCACCACAGGGUGAGAUGAAGAUUCGGCGGGGAUGUCGCCUCGGGCAGAGGUAGAGGUCUCCGAAUGAUAGCUGACAUGCCGAUCCGGCAACCGCAUAUCCCUUAUCAGAAAUUCGCAGUAUUGGCUAGUGCUGGCACAAACCUCGCCGCACGGCACCACAGCCAACAGAACCACCUCGUUCGAUUGCAUAACUUUUCCCCUGCCGAAGGACGGCACGACCUUAAUUCUCUCACUGACAAGCUCCACUUCGGC
rnacentral:lncRNA from 1 species